rnacentral:rRNA from 1 species
ACCAUGCAGUCGACGGCAGCGCGGGGCAACCUGGCGGCGAGUGGCGAACGGGUGAGUAAUACAUCGGAACGUGCCCUGUGAUGGGGGAUAACUACGCGAAAGCGUAGCUAAUACCGCAUACGACCCAAGGGUGAAAGUGGGGGAUCGCAAGACCUCACGUCAUAGGAGCGGCCGAUGGCGGAUUAGCUAGUUGGUGAGGUAAAGGCUUACCAAGGCGACGAUCCGUAGCUGGUCUGAGAGGACGACCAGCCACACUGGGACUGAGACACGGCCCAGACUCCUACGGGAGGCAGCAGUGGGGAAUCUUGGACAAUGGGGGCAACCCUGAUCCAGCAAUGCCGCGUGUGGGAUGAAGGCCUUCGGGUUGUAAACCACUUUUGGCGGGGGCGAAAUAUUGAGUGCUAAUACCAUUCGGUGAUGACGGUACCCGCAGAAUAAGCACCGGCUAACUACGUGCCAGCAGCCCGGGUAAUACA